rnacentral:rRNA from 1 species
UCGGAAUUACUGGGCGUAAAGCGCACGCAGGCGGUUUGUUAAGUCAGAUGUGAAAUCCCCGGGCUCAACCUGGGAACUGCAUCUGAUACUGGCAAGCUUGAGUCUCGUAGAGGGGGGUAGAAUUCCAGGUGUAGCGGUGAAAUGCGUAGAGAUCUGGAGGAAUACCGAUGGCGAAGGCAGCCAUCUGGCCUAAUACUGACGCUGAGGUACGAAAGCAUGGGGA